ensembl:lncRNA
AUCUUUACGGGGGGCAGCUUCGGGCGUGAGGCGGUCCUCGGGUUGAAGGCGUGGUGACCCUGAGCUAGGUUAACCGGCGAAAGGGAAGCUGGAAGAGACGCCGGUCCCCGACUACGCUGCUCUGAAAAGAAAUGUGUUCUUUCUUCUUUUUUAUCCUUCAUAACGGACCAAAUAUUGCCUACUUGCCAUAGACAUCUGCUGUCAAUACGUGCUGUAAUUUGACAUUCUGAAUCACAGACAUGACGGCAUUGAAAACGUACUUAUACUUGUAAAAAGAAACCAGACAUCCCUUCAAAGUUUCUACACUACUUCUUAAACUGGACCUUUGUCUGCCGUUUAGGCCGGCAGAGUUACUUGAAUCUUCAGUCCAGGUAACAAGAAUAAUUCUGUGGUUGUAUUUUUCUGUAAUUAACUGAAAGAAUAAUUAAGUCAUAUUUUAGUAUGUUCUGAAAUAUUUACUGAUCUUACAAAUUGUAAUUUCUAAGAUGAUUUGCUCUAAGAUGAUUCGCCUCGUAGCAUAGUUUUAGUUUACUUAUUUUGCACAUAUGUUUGAAACCGACUGCUGUAGGAAAUGAACAGUCCAUUCAAAAAAUUUGCUUUACUUUUUUCUGCCAAUGGACUUAUUUGAAAUUUUCACUGUAGUCAGAGUUUCUGUGCAAACAUAAAAGUAGCAAUUAUUUGAUUUUAAAUAGAUUUUUCAGAUUAUUGGUUAACAUUAUUUGAAAGCAAGUUUAUGGGUAAUAAAAGUUAGUCAGAACUCAAUACAUAUGGUGUAGUUACCACCCAGUUUAAUAUGUAGCAAAAAUGUACACUUGCUAUUUCUGAACUGUUAAUUUUUCUGCCGUGUUCCAACUGACUAGAACACCGUUAGGAAUGCAUCUUUAUAAAUGGGUGCUACUUGAUGAUGGAAAUGAUUUCGUAUGGACGGUAUAGGAUGUUAAUAAUGAAGCCAUAUGUUUAUGUCUGAAUUUACAGUGUUUUUUUUUUUUGUUUGUUUUUUUGUUUUUGUGGUACGCGGGCCUCUCACUGUUGUGGCCUCUCCCGUUGUGGAGCACAGGCUCCGGACGCGCAGGCUCAGCGGCCAAGGCUCAUGGGCCCAGCCGCUCUGCGGCAUGUGGGAUCCUCCUGGACCGGGGCAAGAACCCGUGUCCCCUGCAUCAGCAGGUGGACUCUCAACCACUGUGCCACCAGGGAAGCCCUGGAUUUACAGUUUUAAACAAUCAUUUACUAAGUCAUUUUGCUUUUAUUUUGAAGAAUAUAAACUGUUGUUUCACUUACACAAAUCAGCAAGAUCUAAUUUAUGGCAAGAAAUAUUCCAUUGACAUUGUUGUGCUGUAACGUGGGAAAAUGUAAAUCUUUUUCACGGUUUCUAUCAAAGUGAAAUAAAAUUUAAUUCUGAAAAAAAAAAAAAGUCACACUGGGAAGAACAUUGGUCAACUGAUCUCUUACUUGAAACACCUAUCUUUCCAAAGAUUAUGACGAGAAGAAGGUUUGAACAAAUAAUGACAUUUCUUCACUUUAACGAUAACUCAGAAACUCCACUUCCUGCAGACAGAAUUUCAAAGUUAAACCUCUUUUGGAUUAUUUUCUGCCAAAAUUUCAAUUGUUCUAUGUACCCAAACAAGAGCUAUCACUUGAUGAGGCAAUGAUAAGGUGGAGAGGACAACUCAGAUUCAAAACCUGUAAUCCUGGAAAACUUACAAAAUAUAGAAUUUUGGUCAGGAUGUUUAGCGAAAGUGAAAUUGGAUAUAUAUGCAGCCUUGAGAUUCACAUGGGUGAAGGAAAGAAACUGCAAGAAACAAUAUUGUUGGUCCUACAACCUUAUCUUGGUUCAUGGCACCAUAUUUUCCAAGACAGUUAUUACAACAGUGUGCUCACAUCUGAAAUAAGAGAGAAUCGUGGUCUACUAAACCAAUUAAAGGAGAAAUCUAAAAAUCUACAGAGGGGAGAAAUGACAUUCUUACGGAAGGGAAAGUGAUUCUUCUUAUAUGGAAAGACAAGAGGCUAGUCCUCGUGGUGACAACUAUUCAAGACACCUCCAUAGCAUCUACAGGAAAGGAAUGCAGGAGGACUGGCCAUCAGAUAACUAAGCCCACUUGUAUAUAAGAGUAUAAUAGAUAUAUGAAAGGAGUUGAUCGAUCCAAUCACUAUCUGGCAAACUUCAGUAUCCUCUGGAAAACUCGAAAAUGGUUUAAGAAAGUGGCUUUCUAUUUGAGUAAUUGCGGUUUAUUCAAUGCGUUUAAAAUUUAUUGUAGCUUUAUUGCACAGAGUAAAAUGACUUACAAGCAGUUUUUGUUAGCAGUAGUUAGAGAAUGGGUAACUGACCAUUCUGGUGAAUGUAGUGGUAGUCCUGCACCUGGUCCUUCCAAGCCCCCCACACAGAUCCACCUUGUCGACUAUCAGGUGAAAUAAAAGAACAUAUUCUAGAGGAAAUAAUACCCACAGGACUAAAAAAAAAUGCUGCUGGGAAUUGUAGAGUCUGCUCUUCCAGGGGAAAGUGCAAUGAAACACGGUAUAUUUGUAAUAGAUGUUCUGUUCCCUUGCAGAGAGGUGCCUGCUAUACUGCCUGUCACACUCUAAUGAAAUAUUAGAAUGCUUUAGUAAGACGUAUACAAAGUUUCAAAUAAAUACAUUAAGUGC